rnacentral:rRNA from 1 species
UACGUAGGGUGCAAGCGUUAACCGGAAUUACUGGGCGUAAAGCGUGCGCAGGCGGUUUUGUAAGUCUGACGUGAAAUCCCCGGGCUCAACCUGGGAAUUGCGUUGGAGACUGCAAGGCUGGAGUCUGGCAGAGGGGGGUAGAAUUCCACGUGUAGCAGUGAAAUGCGUAGAGAUGUGGAGGAACACCGAUGGCGAAGGCAGCCCCCUGGGUCAAGACUGACGCUCAUGCACGAAAGCGUGGGGAGCAAACAGG